rnacentral:rRNA from 1 species
AUUGAACGCUGGCGGCAUGCCUUACACAUGCAAGUCGAACGGUAACGGGCCUUCGGGUGCCGACGAGUGGCGAACGGGUGAGUAAUGUAUCGGAACGUACCUUUCAGUGGGGGAUAACGUAGCGAAAGUUACGCUAAUACCGCAUAUUCUGUGCGCAGGAAAGCAGGGGAUCGCAAGACCUUGCGCUGAUUGAGCGGCCGAUAUCAGAUUAGCUAGUUGGUGAGGUAAAGGCUCACCAAGGCGACGAUCUGUAGCGGGUCUGAGAGGAUGAUCCGCCACACUGGAACUGAGACACGGUCCAGACUCCUACGGGAGGCAGCAGUGGGGAAUUUUGGACAAUGGGGGCAACCCUGAUCCAGCCAUGCCGCGUGAGUGAAGAAGGCCUUCGGGUUGUAAAGCUCUUUCGGCCGGGAAGAAAUCGUAUGGGCUAAUACCCUGUGCGGAUGACGGUACCGGCAUAAGAAGCACCGGCUAACUACGUGCCAGCCGCCGCUGUAACAC